rnacentral:rRNA from 1 species
GGGAAUUUUCCGCAAUGGGCGAAAGCCUGAUGGAGCAACGCCGCGUGAGUGAAGAAGGUCUUAGGAUUGUAAAGCUCUGUCCUUAGGGAAGAACCGUGGGUAUAACAAAUGAUACCCACCUGACGGUACCUUUGGAGGAAGCACUGGCUAACUACGUGCCAGCAGCCGCGGUAAUACGUAGAGUGCAAGCGUUGUCCGGAAUUAUUGGGCGUAAAGGGUACGCAGGCGGAUAAUCAAGUCAAGCGUGAAAGGUGUCGGCUUAACCGACAGACUGCGUUUGAAACUGGUUAUCUUGAGUGUAACAGAGGAGAGUGGAAUUCCUAGUGUAGUGGUGAAAUACGUAGAUAUUAGGAAGAACACCAGUGGCGAAGGCGACUCUCUGGGUUAACACUGACGCUGAGGUACGAAAGCUGGGGGAGCGAAAGGGAUUAGAUACCCCUGUAGUC